UACGUAGGGAGCAAGCGUUGUCCGGAAUCAUUGGGCGUAAAGCGCGCGUAGGUGGCCUCAUAAGUCCGCUGUGAAAGUCCAAGGCUCAACCUUGGAAAGCCGGUGGAUACUGUGAGGCUAGAGUACGGAAGAGGCGAGUGGAAUUCCUGGUGUAGCGGUGGAAUGCGCAGAUAUCAGGAGGAACACCGGUGGCGAAGGCGGAUCUCUGGGCCUUACCUGACGCUGAGGCGCGAAAGCUAGGGGAGCGAACAGG
rnacentral:rRNA from 1 species